AAUAUCAUUAGAUCAAUUUCAGUAAGAGUGCAAUGACAUACAUUGUUGUUACUAAAUACCACCAGUUCCAGUCUCUGAGAAACAGUGACAGGAACCCCAAUCUUUCCCCUUCUUAAGUGAAGAGGUGUUAAUAUUUUAAAAAUGAGUUUUGUGUCCCAAGGAUUAAAGCAGAUGUUUAGUCUACAUCUCAGCUUCAAAGCAAACCAGAGCUCAAACUGUAGAGGCAGUUCAGCAUUUGUGCUUCAGGGCAGGUGGGAUUCCUGGGUGCGGUGAGCUGGAUUCAGCUAUCUGAAGCACAUCCUGGCACUUAUCUCAGGCGGGUCUCCCUGGACUCUGGAGGCAGGAUGACACCCUGCAGAGUGGUGUAGCAGGUUCUGUUAUCAGGCACUCUUCUCCUUGGGGGCAGGGAAGGCCGGACCAAGGACCUCUCCGCAAUCAUCUCUGGAACUCCUCUGUGGGAUGUCUGCAGCCACGACUCAGGUCCAGAUUUUUUCUUUCUGUGAAAAAACAUAAACACAUCCUCGACCCCAAAUAUAUAUAGGUCGGGUUUUUUCAUAAUGCAUUGCAAGGGCUUUUCCACCUUGCCUUAGCAAAGGUCAGCUUGGUGUUAUCAGGCCAGAUCCGUUUGCAUCAGGAUCUGCUUGCAACUUCUAUGAGUUGCUUUCAAGGAGCCUUGUUAUGCUCCACAAUUUUUUUUUUUUUAUUAUUAGCCAUAUAUGCAGUUCUUUCAUUGGAAGAGCCAUUUGUAAAAUUUUAGCAUAAAAUCCUUUAAGGGAUUUUUUGCUAUAUCAUUAGCAAAAUACAGGCAAUGAUCUGGGAAAAGAUCAUCGUUUUUGGCCUUGAACUGAGCAAAGGCAAUUGUCCAGGAAUCAAUCUUAAAAUUAUCAAUGAAUCUAUUGUUUAGUAUAAGAAACAUUGAUCAUAGUCAAUAUUCUAUCAAACCAUUUUUUCAGAUGUUAUCCUGUCCUUUUGUACCAGACAGGCUACUGUUCUAAAUUAAGAGUUUAAUAUCAACUGGCAAAACUGGAAAGGUUUAGUCAUAAACAGCAUUUUUUAUAAAACUGUUGUAGAAUAAGUUUUACAUUUAAUAUACACAUUUGCCAUAGCUGAAUUAUAAUUAAUAUACUGUAUUUGUUGAUUAUUGUAUACUUUACCUGUUUGAGUACCUGCUAGGCAACUUGUUUUAAGCUCUCUAUUGGAAACUGUUUUUUGUAAGAAUUUUACCUAGCAGCUCAAUAUCUCUCAUAAGAACAUUAUAAGUAGGGCUUUAACCAUUGGACAUCCAAAAGUUUGUAAGCUAUCCUCCUCUUAAGCUGCAAGUCUGCCUUGCAAAUAGGAAAAUGGAAAAAUGAAGCAUUUUUUUUAAACUAAUAAUGCUGGCCUCACUAGACACCAACAUGUAGAAGAAUGAAAAUAGAUCUAUAUCCAUCUCCAUGAACAAAAUUUAAG